GGUGGUUCAGUGGUAGAGCACUUGCCUUGCAUGCAUGAGGCCCUGGGUUCAAUUCCUCAGCACCA
rfam:Dipodomys ordii contig_63304, whole genome shotgun sequence.